CCCCGCGAGGCGGCGCAGCCCGAGAGGCAGCGGGGGGCGCAUUCGCCGGGGACCCGCGACGCCCCUAUAUCCCCCCCUUUCCCUGAGAGGUGACAGAGAGCACGGCCACCGAGACCAGGAGGCUGAAGAGGCGGAGGUGGCGGCGACCCAGGUUUCUCCUCUGGUGGGGCUGCUGCUCGCGUGGGGACGCAGGGGGCGCUGGCCAAGCCCCGGGUGCCGCUGAGCCGCCCCGGGUCCCCAGGGCUAUCCGCACCGGAUGGUGGGUGCCGGGGACCUCUCCGCGGCGGCAGUGGCGGCGCUUCGAUCCAACAGACCACGGACGACUGACAAACUUGUCGUUCCCCUCCUUGGGGCCGCCCCUCAGCGGAGCGGAGUUGGGGAGGCCCGGGCUCCGCUCGAGUUAAUCCGCUGUUUCCAGUCCUGCGGCCGCCGCCGGGGCCUCAGCGGCCCCACUCCGGGGGGCCGGGCUGAACGCCCUCGCGGCGGCCAGCGAAGGAGCCCCGGACCCGGCCCUCCAGAGUCGGGGAGCAGCGCGGGCUAGGUUCGGCCCAGGGACGAGCGCCGCGGGUCCCCGGGUCCGCGAAGUUAGCCGAGCCGCCGACAAACCCGUGGGAGGAAUCGCAGCCCGGCGCCCCGCGGGAAUCUGGAGAACAAUUCCAGGAAAAUGUCAGAAAGCAGAAAUGGAUCCAUCUAUCCAGAGGACAGUGGCGGAGGGACGUGGGUUUCGGAGCGGGCUGUGCAGCCGCGCGCUCGCACACUCGCGGUUCGCCCUCCUUGCACACCCAGCCUGGCUGGCCGAGCCCGGUGCAACGAGGCCAGCACGCCCCCGGGAAGAACGGGGGGAGAUCGCUCCGGGGACCCCAGCCCUCAGGGCACUGCACACUUCGUAAAUGUUCAGCACUUUCGGGAGCCGGGACUGAAGCGGGGGCCCUAGGAAAAGGCCGGGCGCCUGCGGUUCCUGGGGUCCUGAGGCCGCGCGAGCCGGGCCGCGGCUGUGGGUCUGCUAGGCUGCCUCCCGCGCUCCGGAGGCCUCCGCCCCUCUCCAGGCAUCUGGGCCUCUCCCUGGGUCCCGCGCGGGGGCCAGGCCCGAGCAGCUGGCGGAGAGGUCGCGCUUAGAGCUCCUGCCCUUGCUGCGGCCCACAGGUUGCCAACAGGUUUGCUCGCGCGACCCCUCCGCCAGAGCUCCCCUAAGUCACCCCACAUUCUCCUCGGCUCGCGGCUCUCCCCAGCCUACCUCCCCUCGGGACCUCAGGCGCCCCCAAGCGCCCCGGGGGCACACCUUCCGGCUGCCGAGCCCCGGCCCCGCUCCGGCCGGGGGUGUCCGGCACUCGGGUCUCAGCCGCCGCGAAGGGGCCCCUGCGGAGCAGGGGUGCGGAGAACGCUCCUCCCAAACGCCCGCGGGGAGGGGCGUAGGCUGGCCAACUAGACCGGUGGCCUCGCCGGCGCCUCUGAUCGCGCCCGGCGCCCAACCCGGGUCCUGCUAAUCUCACCUGCUCCACCUGUCGCCGUUAUAUAUCUCAGCGUGUGCGCAAGGAUUGUUUUAGGGCGGCCGGUGGGAGCGCGGACAAUCGCAGCAGCUAACAAGCGGGGAGACUACAAACCUCCCUCCCCUCGCCCCCUGGAACUGCUCAAUAUCUUGAUCGUGGUUCCAUGACUCUAUGCAUUUGUCAAAACUCAAAGAUCUGCACACCCAAAAAGGGUUAAUUUGUCUCGGCAAAUAAAUUUUUUAAAAAUAAUAGUAAUAACCA
rnacentral:lncRNA from 13 species